AAUAGAUACCCGGGUAGUCCACGCCGUAAACGAUGAGUGCUAAGUGUUAGAGGGUUUCCGCCCUUUAGUGCUGCAGCUAACGCAUUAAGCACUCCGCCUGGGGAGUACGGCCGCAAGGCUGAAACUCAAAGGAAUUGACGGGGGCCCGCACAAGCGGUGGAGCAUGUGGUUUAAUUCGAAGCAACGCGAAGAACCUUACCAGGUCUUGACAUCCUCUGCCAACCCUAGAGAUAGGGCGUUCCCCCUUCGGGGGACAGAGUGACAGGUGGUGCAUGGUUGUCGUCAGCUCGUGUCGUGAGAUGUUGGGUUAAGUCCCGCAACGAGCGCAACCCUUGAUCUUAGUUGCCAGCAUUCAGUUGGGCACUCUAAGGUGACUGCCGGUGACAAACCGGAGGAAGGUGGGGAUGACGUCAAAUCAUCAUGCCCCUUAUGACCUGGGCUACACACGUGCUACAAUGGAUGGUACAAAGAGCUGCGAACCCGCGAGGGUAAGCGAAUCUCAUAAAGCCAUUCUCAGUUCGGAUUGUAGG
rnacentral:rRNA from 1 species